UUCUGCCACUGUAGUCGGCAACACACAGCAUAUCCCAUGGCUCAGCGUCUGCACCUCCAAAACCACAUCCCGGACCACCACCGAAGAAGACUGCGCUUCAGGUUAAUGUGGCACUGCUGACACAAGGUCAGACACUGCCUCAUCUCUCUGAGUGAUCAGGACCGCUUCCCAUCUUUCUCACCACGACACUGAGAGAGUUUCAAAUCCAUCCCCUUCUUUCCUCCGCCUCUCGCCUUCUUUCUAAGACGGGAGCGCUGGAGCCAGAAGACAUGUUGACAUGCUACGGUAGGAAAAGGCGC